rnacentral:rRNA from 1 species
ACGGGGAGCACCACAACAGGUGGAGCCUGCGGUUUAAUCGGACUCAACGCCGGGAAGCUCACCGGAUAAGACAGCGGAAUGAUAGCCGGGCUGAAGACUCUGCUUGACUAGCUGAGAGGUGGUGCAUGGCCGUCGUCAGUUCGUACUGUGAAGCAUCCUGUUAAGUCAGGCAACGAGCGAGACCCACGUCCACAGUUGCCAGCAUACCCUCCGGGGUGAUGGGUACACUGUGGAGACCGCCGCUGCUAAAGCGGAGGAAGGAAUGGGCAACGGUAGGUCAGUAUGCCCCGAAUCUCCCGGGCUACACGCGGGCUACAAUGGUUGGUACAAUGGGCAUCUACCCCGAAAGGGGAAGGAAAUCUCUUAAAGCCAAUCGUAGUUCGGAUUGAGGGCUGCAACUCGCCCUCAUGAAGCUGGAAUCCGUAGUAAUCGCGUUUCAACAGAACGCGGUGAAUACGUCCCUGCUCCUU